AGCGAACGUUAGCGGCGGGCUUAACACAUGCAAGUCGAGGGAGAAAGGGGCUUCGGCCCUGAGUAAACCGGCGGACGGGUGAGUAACACGUGGGUAAUGUACCUACCGGCGGGGGAUAACAAUCCGAAAGGAUUGCUAAUACCGCAUUCGUCGACGAGGUCCCCGGACCUUGUCGAGAAAGAUGGCCUCUCAGCGAAGCUAUCACCGGUAGAUCAGCCCGCGGCCCAUCAGCUUGUUGGUGAGGUAAUGGCUCACCAAGGCGUAGACGGGGGGCUGGUCUGAGAGGAUGAGCAGCCACACUGGGACUGAGACACGGCCCAGACGCCUACGGGAGGCAGCAGUGGGGAAUAUUGGGCAAUGGGCGAAAGCCUGACCCAGCCACGCCGCGUGAGUGAUGAAGGCCUUCGGGUCGUAAAGCUCUGUGGGGAGGGACGAAUCAGUUGCUGGCUAAUAUCCAGCGACCCUGACGGUACCUCCUUAGCAAGCACCGGCUAACUCCGUGCCAGCAGCCGCCGCGGUAA
rnacentral:rRNA from 1 species